UACGUAGGGUGCAAGCGUUGUCCGGAAUUAUUGGGCGUAAAGAGCUCGUAGGCGGUUUGUUGCGUCGGCUGUGAAAUCCCGAGGCUCAACCUCGGGUCUGCAGUCGAUACGAGCAAACUAGAGUGUUGCAGGGGAGACUGGAAUUCCUGGUGUAGCGGUGAAAUGCGCAGAUAUCAGGAGGAACACCGGUGGCGAAGGCGGGUCUCUGGGCAGUGACUGACGCUGAGGCGCGAAGGCUAGGGGAGCAAACGGG
rnacentral:rRNA from 1 species